rnacentral:rRNA from 1 species
CGGGUGGUAAUGCCGGAUGUUCCAGUUGAUCGCAUGGUCUUCUGGGAAAGCUUUCGCGGUAUGGGAUGGGGUCGCGUCCUAUCAGCUUGACGGCGGGGUAACGGCCCACCGUGGCUUCGACGGGUAGCCGGCCUGAGAGGGCGACCGGCCACAUUGGGACUGAGAUACGGCCCAGACUCCUACGGGAGGCAGCAGUGGGGAAUAUUGCACAAUGGGCGCAAGCCUGAUGCAGCGACGCCGCGUGAGGGAUGGAGGCCUUCGGGUUGUAAACCUCUUUUAUCGGGGAGCAAGCGUGAGUGAGUUUACCCGUUGAAUAAGCACCGGCUAACUACGUGCCAGCAGCCGCGGUAAUACGUAGGGUGCAAGCGUUAUCCGGAAUUAUUGGGCGUAAAGGGCUCGUAGGCGGUUCGUCGCGUCCGGUGUGAAAGUCCAUCGCUUAACGGUGGAUCCGCGCCGGGUACGGGCGGGCUUGAGUGCGGUAGGGGAGACUGGAAUUCCCGGUGUAACGGUGGAAUGUGUAGAUAUCGGAAAAAAAACACCA